rnacentral:rRNA from 1 species
CCUACGGGUGGCAGCAGUGGGGGAUAUUGCACAAUGGGGGGAACCCUGAUGCAGCGAUGCCGCGUGGGUGAAGAAGCGCCUCGGCGCGUAAAGCCCUGUCAGCAGGGAAGAAAAUGACGGUACCUGAAGAAGAAGCCCCGGCUAACUACGUGCCAGCAGCCGCGGUAAUACGUAGGGGGCAAGCGUUAUCCGGAGUUACUGGGUGUAAAGGGGGCGCAGACGGGGGUGCAAGCAAGGAGUGAAAGCCCGGGGCGCAACCUGGGGACUGCGCUUGGAACUGCGUGGCUGGAGUGCAGGAGGGGCAGGCAGAAUUCCAGGUGUAGCGGUGAAAUGCGUAGAUAUCAGGAGGAACACCGGUGGCGAAGGCGGCCUGCUGGACUGCAACUGACGUUGAGGCCCGAAAGCGUGGGGAGCAAACAGGAUUAGAUACCCGUGUAGUC